AAGGCCUUCGGGUCGCAAAGCACUUUUGUCCGGAAAGAAAACUUCUGCCCUAAUACGGUCCGGGAGGAUGACGGUACCGGAAGAAUAAGCACCGGCUAACUACGUGC
rnacentral:rRNA from 1 species